CCUAGCUUUAAACCUAACCCUAGCUCUAAGGAGGUGUAUGGUUAUAUGGGGCAGGACACGAGCAACUGUGCUGCAAAGUUUUCCAUGAUAAAAAGUUUUAGGUCCCACUGAGAUUCGAACCCGGGUCGCUGGGGUCAAUGCAAUCUCCGGUUAGAAUAUCUUAUUUUUUUCCAUUUUGCGCGUAGGUAUUAACAAGUAGAAUAGUCUUAAAUUAUUCACAAUUAUUUAGGCAGUUAAUUAUGGGAUAUUUUGGUACACUACACGAGGUAAAAAAAAAAA